rnacentral:rRNA from 1 species
GGGUUGUGAGGUUAAGCGACUAAGCGUACACGGUGGAUGCCCUGGCAGUCAGAGGCGAUGAAGGACGUGCUAAUCUGCGAUAAGCGUCGGUAAGGUGAUAUGAACCGUUAUAACCGGCGAUUUCCGAAUGGGGAAACCCAGUGUGAUUCGUCACACUAUCAUUAACUGAAUCCAUAGGUUAAUGAGGCGAACCGGGGGAACUGAAACAUCUAAGUACCCCGAGGAAAAGAAAUCAACCGAGAUUCCCCCAGUAGCGGCGAGCGAACGGGGAGCAGCCCAGAGCCUGAAUCAGUGUGUGUGUUAGUGGAAGCGUCUGGAAAGGCGCGCGAUACAGGGUGACAGCCCCGUACACAAAAAUGCACAUGCUGUGAGCUCGAUGAGUAGGGCGGGACACGUGGUAUCCUGUCUGAAUAUGGGGGGACCAUCCUCCAAGGCUAAAUACUCCUGACUGACCGAUAGUGAACCAGUACCGUGAGGGAAAGGCGAAAAGAACCCCGGCGAGGGGAGUGAAAAAGAACCUGAAACCGUGUACGUACAAGCAGUGGGAGCACAGAGCAAUCUGUGUGACUGCGUACCUUUUGUAUAAUGGGUCAGCGACUUAUAUUCUGUAGCAAGGUUAACCGAAUAGGGGAGCCGAAGGGAAACCGAGUCUUAACUGGGCGUUAAGUUGCAGGGUAUAGACCCGAAACCCGGUGAUCUAGCCAUGGGCAGGUUGAAGGUUGGGUAACACUAACUGGAGGACCGAACCGACUAAUGUUGAAAAAUUAGCGGAUGACUUGUGGCUGGGGGUGAAAGGCCAAUCAAACCGGGAGAUAGCUGGUUCUCCCCGAAAGCUAUUUAGGUAGCGCCUCGUGAAUUCAUCUCCGGGGGUAGAGCACUGUUUCGGCAAGGGGGUCAUCCCGACUUACCAACCCGAUGCAAACUGCGAAUACCGGAGAAUGUUAUCACGGGAGACACACGGCGGGUGCUAACGUCCGUCGUGAAGAGGGAAACAACCCAGACCGCCAGCUAAGGUCCCAAAGUCAUGGUUAAGUGGGAAACGAUGUGGGAAGGCCCAGACAGCCAGGAUGUUGGCUUAGAAGCAGCCAUCAUUUAAAGAAAGCGUAAUAGCUCACUGGUCGAGUCGGCCUGCGCGGAAGAUGUAACGGGGCUAAACCAUGCACCGAAGCUGCGGCAGCGACGCUUAUGCGUUGUUGGGUAGGGGAGCGUUCUGUAAGCCUGUGAAGGUGUGCUGUGAGGCAUGCUGGAGGUAUCAGAAGUGCGAAUGCUGACAUAAGUAACGAUAAAGCGGGUGAAAAGCCCGCUCGCCGGAAGACCAAGGGUUCCUGUCCAACGUUAAUCGGGGCAGGGUGAGUCGACCCCUAAGGCGAGGCCGAAAGGCGUAGUCGAUGGGAAACAGGUUAAUAUUCCUGUACUUGGUGUUACUGCGAAGGGGGGACGGAGAAGGCUAUGUUGGCCGGGCGACGGUUGUCCCGGUUUAAGCGUGUAGGCUGGUUUUCCAGGCAAAUCCGGAAAAUCAAGGCUGAGGCGUGAUGACGAGGCACUACGGUGCUGAAGCAACAAAUGCCCUGCUUCCAGGAAAAGCCUCUAAGCAUCAGGUAACAUCAAAUCGUACCCCAAACCGACACAGGUGGUCAGGUAGAGAAUACCAAGGCGCUUGAGAGAACUCGGGUGAAGGAACUAGGCAAAAUGGUGCCGUAACUUCGGGAGAAGGCACGCUGAUAUGUAGGUGAAGUCCCUCGCGGAUGGAGCUGAAAUCAGUCGAAGAUACCAGCUGGCUGCAACUGUUUAUUAAAAACACAGCACUGUGCAAACACGAAAGUGGACGUAUACGGUGUGACGCCUGCCCGGUGCCGGAAGGUUAAUUGAUGGGGUUAGCGCAAGCGAAGCUCUUGAUCGAAGCCCCGGUAAACGGCGGCCGUAACUAUAACGGUCCUAAGGUAGCGAAAUUCCUUGUCGGGUAAGUUCCGACCUGCACGAAUGGCGUAAUGAUGGCCAGGCUGUCUCCACCCGAGACUCAGUGAAAUUGAACUCGCUGUGAAGAUGCAGUGUACCCGCGGCAAGACGGAAAGACCCCGUGAACCUUUACUAUAGCUUGACACUGAACAUUGAGCCUUGAUGUGUAGGAUAGGUGGGAGGCUUUGAAGUGUGGACGCCAGUCUGCAUGGAGCCGACCUUGAAAUACCACCCUUUAAUGUUUGAUGUUCUAACGUUGACCCGUGAUCCGGGUUGCGGACAGUGUCUGGUGGGUAGUUUGACUGGGGCGGUCUCCUCCUAAAGAGUAACGGAGGAGCACGAAGGUUGGCUAAUCCUGGUCGGACAUCAGGAGGUUAGUGCAAUGGCAUAAGCCAGCUUGACUGCGAGCGUGACGGCGCGAGCAGGUGCGAAAGCAGGUCAUAGUGAUCCGGUGGUUCUGAAUGGAAGGGCCAUCGCUCAACGGAUAAAAGGUACUCCGGGGAUAACAGGCUGAUACCGCCCAAGAGUUCAUAUCGACGGCGGUGUUUGGCACCUCGAUGUCGGCUCAUCACAUCCUGGGGCUGAAGUAGGUCCCAAGGGUAUGGCUGUUCGCCAUUUAAAGUGGUACGCGAGCUGGGUUUAGAACGUCGUGAGACAGUUCGGUCCCUAUCUGCCGUGGGCGCUGGAGAACUGAGGGGGGCUGCUCCUAGUACGAGAGGACCGGAGUGGACGCAUCACUGGUGUUCGGGUUGUCAUGCCAAUGGCACUGCCCGGUAGCUAAAUGCGGAAGAGAUAAGUGCUGAAAGCAUCUAAGCACGAAACUUGCCCCGAGAUGAGUUCUCCCUGACUCCUUGAGAGUCCUGAAGGAACGUUGAAGACGACGACGUUGAUAGGCCGGGUGUGUAAGCGCAGCGAUGCGUUGAGCUAACCGGUACUAAUGAACCGUGAGGCUUAACCUUACAACGCCGAAGGUGUUU